rnacentral:rRNA from 1 species
AACUGACGCUGAGGAGCGAAAGCAUGGGGAGCGAACAGGAUUAGAUACCCUGGUAGUCCAUGCCGUAAACGUUGGGCACUAGGUGUGGGGGACAUUCCACGUUUUCCGCGCCGUAGCUAACGCAUUAAGUGCCCCGCCUGGGGAGUACGGCCGCAAGGCUAAAACUCAAAGGAAUUGACGGGGGCCCGCACAAGCGGCGGAGCAUGCGGAUUAAUUCGAUGCAACGCGAAGAACCUUACCAAGGCUUGACAUGAACCGGAAAUACCUGGAAACAGGUGCCCCGCUUGCGGUCGGUUUACAGGUGGUGCAUGGUUGUCGUCAGCUCGUGUCGUGAGAUGUUGGGUUAAGUCCCGCAACGAGCGCAACCCUCGUUCUAUGUUGCCAGCGCGUUAUGGCGGGGACUCAUAGGAGACUGCCGGGGUCAACUCGGAGGAAGGUGGGGACGACGUCAAAUCAUCAUGCCCCUUAUGUCUUGGGCUUCACGCAUGCUACAAUGGCCGGUACAAAGGGUUGCGAUACUGUGAGGUGGAGCUAAUCCCAAAAAGCCGGUCUCAGUUCGGAUUGGGGUCUGCAACUCGACCCCAUGAAGUCGGAGUCGCUAGUAAUCGCAGAUCAGCAACGCUGCGGUGAAUACGUUCCCGGGCCUUGUACACACCGCCCGUCAAGUCACGAAAGUUGGUAACACCCGAAGCCGGUGGCCUAACCCC